rnacentral:rRNA from 1 species
CGCGGUAAUACAGAGGGUGCAAGCGUUAAUCGGAAUUACUGGGCGUAAAGCGCGCGUAGGUGGUUUGUUAAGUUGGAUGUGAAAUCCCCGGGCUCAACCUGGGAACUGCAUCCAAAACUGGCAAGCUAGAGUAGGGUAGAGGGUGGUGGAAUUUCCUGUGUAGCGGUGAAAUGCGUAGAUAUAGGAAGGAACACCAGUGGCGAAGGCGACCACCUGGACUCAUACUGACACUGAGGUGCGAAAGCGUGGGGAGCAAACAGGAUUAGAU